rnacentral:rRNA from 1 species
AGCGAACGCUGGCGGCAGGCCUAACACAUGCAAGUCGAACGAACCUUUCGGGGUUAGUGGCGGACGGGUGAGUAACACGUGGGAACGUGCCUUUAGGUUCGGAAUAACUCAGGGAAACUUGUGCUAAUACCGAAUGUGCCCUUCGGGGGAAAGAUUAAUCGCCUUUAGAGCGGCCCGCGUCUGAUUAGCUAGUUGGUUGAGGUAAUGGCUCACCAAGGCGACGAUCAGUAGCUGGUCUGAGAGGAUGAUCAGCCACAUUGGGACUGAGACACGGCCCAAACACCGAGGGGGGGCAGCAGGGGAGAAUGCAGCGCGGCGGGCGAAAGGCGAACACAGCCAUGAGGCGUGUAGAGAGAAGGUCUGAGUAUAGUAUAACCAUUCCACGGGGAACGAUAAGCACGGUGCGCGGGGAAGCACCCCCGACUAACUGCGUGCCAGCGGCGGAGGUAGGAGAUAGACGCACACGUCCGAAC